GGAGAGGUGUCCGAGUACGGCUUAAGGAGCACGCCUGGAAAGCGUGUAUCGGGGGAACUCGAUCGGAGGUUCAAAUCCUCUCCUCUCCGCCA
rnacentral:tRNA from 1 species